AGGGCGCAUGGUGAAUGCCUUGGCACUAGGAGCCGAUGAAGGACGGGACUAACACCGAUAUGCUUCGGGGAGCUGUACGUAAGCUAUGAUCCGGAGAUUUCCGAAUGGGGCAACCCAGCAGUUUUAAUCAACUGUUACCACUAGAUGAAUUCAUAGUCUAGUUGGAGGUAAACGCUGUGAACUGAAACAUCUCAUUAGCAGCAGGAAUAUAAAGAAAUUUCGAUUCCCUAAGUAGCGGCGAGCGAACGGGGAACAGCCCAAACCAAAGUGCUUGCACUUUGGGGUUGUAGGACUGAACAUUUGAGUUACCAAAGAACUUGAUAGUCGAAGGAUUUGGGAAAAUCCGCCAUAGAUGGUGAUAGCCCAGUAGAUUAAAUCAAAUUCUCUCAGUUCAGNGAGUUACCAAAGAACUUGAUAGUCGAAGGAUUUGGGAAAAUCCGCCAUAGAUGGUGAUAGCCCAGUAGAUUAAAUCAAAUUCUCUCAGUUCAGGAUCCUGAGUACGGCGGAACACGUGAAAUUCCGUCGGAAUCCGGGAGGACCAUCUCCCAAGGCUAAAUACUACCUAGUGACCGAUAGUGAACCAGUACCGUGAGGGAAAGGUGAAAAGCACCCCGGGAGGGGAGUGAAAUAGUUCCUGAAACCAUGUGCCUACAAUAAGUCAGAGCGCGUUAANACCAGUACCGUGAGGGAAAGGUGAAAAGCACCCCGGGAGGGGAGUGAAAUAGUUCCUGAAACCAUGUGCCUACAAUAAGUCAGAGCGCGUUAAUGCGUGAUGGCGUGCCUUUUGUAGAAUGAACCGGCGAGUUAUGAUCCCGUGCAAGGUUAAGACUAAAAAGUCGGAGCCGUAGCGAAAGCGAGUCUGAAAUGGGCGAUUUGAGUACGAGGUUAUAGACCCGAAACCAGGUGACCUAUCCAUGUCCAGGUUGAAGGUGCGGUAAAACGCACUGGAGGACCGAACCCGUGUAAGUUGAAAAUUGCUGGGAUGAGGUGUGGAUAGCGGUGAAAUUCCAAACGAACUUGGAGAUAGCUGGUUCUCUCCGAAAUAGCUUUAGGGCUAGCCUCGGAUUAAGGAUCAUGGAGGUAGAGCACUAUUUGGACUAGGGGCCCGUCUUGGGUUACUGAAUUCAGAUAAACUCCGAAUGCCAUUGAUUCAUGUCCGGGAGUCAGACGAUGAGUGAUAAGAUCCACCGUCGAAAGGGGAACAGCCCAGACCAUCAGUUAAGGUCCCUAAAUGUAUGCUAAGUGGAAAAGGAUGUGGAGUUGCAUAGACAACUAGGAUGUUGGCUCAGAAGCAGCCACCAUUUAAAGAGUGCGUAAUAGCUCACUAGUCGAGUGAUCCUGCGCCGAAAAUGUACCGGGGCUAAGCAUACUACCGAAACCAUGGAUGCGACCAUUAGGUCGCGUGAUAGGAGAGCGUUCUAAGGGCGGUGAAGCAAGAUCGUGAGGACUUGUGGAGCGCUUAGAAGUGAGAAUGCCGGUAUGAGUAGCGAAAGAUAGGUGAGAAUCCUAUCCACCGAAUGACUAAGGUUUCCUGGGGAAGGCUCGUCCUCCCAGGGUUAGUCGGGACCUAAGUCGAGGCCGAGAGGCGUAGACGAUGGAUAACAGGUUGAGAUUCCUGUACUAGUUAAGUGCGUUUGAGCAAUGGAGGGACGCAGGAGGCUAAGAUGUGCAUUCUGUUGGAUUAGAAUGUCCAAGCAGUAAGUCUUGUGGAGAGUCAAAUGCUUUUCACUUUAAGGACAAGCUGUGAUGGGGAGCGAAAUUUAGUAGCGAAGCGUCUGAUGUCACACUGCCGAGAAAAGCUUCUAGUGAGUACUUAACUACCCGUACCGCAAACCGACACAGGUAGUCGAGGAGAGAAUCCUAAGGUGAGCGAGUGAACUCUCGUUAAGGAACUCGGCAAAAUGACCCCGUAACUUCGGGAGAAGGGGUGCUGAUCGCAAGAUCAGCCGCAGUGAAUAGGCCCAGGCGACUGUUUAUCAAAAACACAGGUCUCUGCAAAAUCGUAAGAUGACGUAUAGGGGCUGACGCCUGCCCGGUGCUGGAAGGUUAAAAGGAUGGGUUAGCUUCGGCGAAGCUCAGAAUUGAAGCCCCAGUAAACGGCGGCCGUAACUAUAACGGUCCUAAGGUAGCGAAAUUCCUUGUCGGGUAAGUUCCGACCCGCACGAAAGGCGUAACGAUCUGGGCACUGUCUCAACGAGAGACUCGGUGAAAUUAUAUUGUCCGUGAAGAUGCGGACUACCCGCGACAGGACGGAAAGACCCCAUGGAGCUUUACUGUAGCUUGAUAUUGAGUGUUUGUACAGCUUGUACAGGAUAGGUAGGAGCCAUAGAAACCGGAACGCUAGUUUCGGUGGAGGCGUUGGUGGGAUACUACCCUCGCUGUAUGACCACUCUAACCCGCACCACUAAUCGUGGUGGGAGACAGUGUCAGGUGGGCAGUUUGACUGGGGCGGUCGCCUCCUAAAAAGUAACGGAGGCGCCCAAAGGUUCCCUCAGAAUGGUUGGAAAUCAUUCGCAGAGUGUAAAGGCACAAGGGAGCUUGACUGCGAGACAGACAGGUCGAGCAGGGACGAAAGUCGGGCUUAGUGAUCCGGUGGUACCGUAUGGAAGGGCCAUCGCUCAACGGAUAAAAGCUACCCUGGGGAUAACAGGCUUAUCUCCCCCAAGAGUCCACAUCGACGGGGAGGUUUGGCACCUCGAUGUCGGCUCAUCGCAUCCUGGGGCUGUAGUCGGUCCCAAGGGUUGGGCUGUUCGCCCAUUAAAGCGGUACGCGAGCUGGGUUCAGAACGUCGUGAGACAGUUCGGUCCCUAUCCGUCGCGGGCGUAGGAAAUUUGAGAGGACCUGUCCUUAGUACGAGAGGACCGGGAUGGACAUACCUCUGGUGUACCAGUUGUGCCGCCAGGCGCAUCGCUGGGUAGCUACGUAUGGAUGUGAUAAACGCUGAAAGCAUCUAAGUGUGAAACACACCUCGAGAUGAGAUUUCCCAUUCCUUUAU
rnacentral:rRNA from 1 species